rnacentral:sRNA from 1 species
AAUUUUCUAACCAGUAGGUAGAAUACAUAAUAAGGUUUUAUACAAUUUUGUAAAAUAUAAUGUGCUUUGUGGUUUCUUUUCUUUCUUUUUAAGGCUUUUAUUGAGAUGGAGACAAGAGAAGAUGCAAUGGCAAUGGUUGACCAUUGUUUGAAAAAAGCCCUUUGGUUUCAGGGGAGAUGUGUGAAGGUUGACCUGUCUGAGAAAUAUAAAAAACUGGUUCUGAGGAUUCCAAACAGAGGCAUUGAUUUACUGAAAAAAGAUAAAUCCCGAAAAAGAUCUUACUCUCCAGAUGGCAAAGAAUCUCCAAGUGAUAAGAAAUCCAAAACUGAUGGUUCCCAGAAGACUGAGAGUUCAACCGAAGG